GACGAACGCUGGCGGCGUGCUUAACACAUGCAAGUCGAACGGAAAGGCCCUGCUUUUUUGGGGUGCUCGAGUGGCGAACGUGUGAGUAACACGUGAGUAACCUGCCCUUUACUUUGGUAUAUCUUCAGGUAACUGGGUCUAAUACCGUAUAGGAGCUCCUGCUGCAUGGUGGGGGUUGGAAAGUUUCGGCGGUUGGGGAUGGACUCGCGGCUUAUCAGCUUGUUUGUGGGGUAGUGGCUUACCAAGGCUUUGACGGGUAGCCGGCAUGAGAGGGUGAACGGCGAAAAUGGGACUGAGAUACGGCGCAGAGUAGUACGGGAGGCAGCAGUGGGGAAUAUUGCACAAUGGGCGGAAGCAUGAUGAAGCAACGCCGCGUGCGGGAUGACGGCCUUCGGGUUGUAAAAAGAUUUAGAAUGUGACGAAGAGUGAGUGACGGUAAUGGGUAAAGAAGCACCGGCUAACUACGUG
rnacentral:rRNA from 1 species